rnacentral:lncRNA from 1 species
CUUGGAAAAUUGUAUUUUUCUAAGAAUUUGUCCAUUUCUUCUAGGUUUUCUGUUUUAUUGGCGUGUAGUUGCAUAUAGUAGUCUCUUAUGAUCCUUUGUAUUUCUGUGAUGUCCAUUGUUACUUCUCCUUUUUCAUUUCUAAUUUUAUUGAUUUGAGUCCUCUCUCUUUUUUGCUGGAUAAGUCUGGCUAGCAGUUUAACAAUUUUGUUGAUCUUUUCAAAGAACCAGCUUUUCGUUUCAUUGAUCUUUUCUAUGGUUUUCCAUGUUUCUAUUUCAUUGAUUUCUGCUCUGAUCUUUAUGAUGUCUUUCCUUCUACUAACGUUAGGUCUUGUCUGUCCCUCUCUCUUGAGCUGCUUUAGAUGUAAAUUUAGGUUGUUUAUUUGAGCUUUUUCUUGUUUCCUGAGGUGGGCUUGUAUUGCUAUAAACUUUCCUCUUAGAACUGCUUUUGUUGCAUCCCAUAGGUUUUGGAGUGUCGUAUCUUCGGUGUCAUUUGCUGCUAGGUAUUUUUUAAUUUCCUCUUUGACUUCUUCAGUGAUCCAUUGGUUGUUUAGUAGCAUGUUGUUUAGUCUCCACAUGUUUGUGUUUUUUGCAGUUUUUUUCUUGUUGUUGAUUUCCAGUCGUACAGCAUUGUGGUUAGAAAAGAUGCUUGAUAUGAUUUCAAUUUUCUUCAAGUUACUGAGGUUGGAUUUGUAGCCCAGGAUGUGAUCAAUCUUAGAGAAUGUUCCAUGUGCACUUGAGAAGAAUGUGUAUUCUGUUGCUUUUGCAUGGAAUAUCCUAUAAAUAUCUAUUAAGUCCAUCUGGUUUAAUGUAUCAUUCAGGGCCUGUGUUUCCUUGUUGAUUUUCUGUCUGGUUUAUCUGUCUAUUGUUGUAAGUGAGGUGUUGAAGUCCCCCACUAUGAUUGUGUUAUUGUUGAUUUGUCCUUUUAUGGUUGUUAGCUGUUGCCUUAUAUAUGGUGGUGAACCUAUGUUGGGUGUGUAGAUAUUUAAAAUUGUUAUAUCAUCUUCUUGGAUUGAUCCUUUGAUCAUUAUGUAAUGUCCUUCUUUGUCCCUGAAAAUAUUCUUCAUUUUAAAGUCUAUUUUGUCUGAUAUGAGUAUUGCUACUCCAGCUUUCUUUUGAUCCCCAUUUGCAUGAAAUAUUUUCUUCCAUCCUCUCACUUUCAAUUUGUAUGUGUCCCUAGAAGUGAAGUGGGUCUCUUGAAGACAGCAUAUAUAUGGGUCUUGUUUUUGUAUCCAUUCAGCCAGUGUAUGUCUUUUGGUUAGGGUGUUUAGUCCAUUCACAUUUAAGGUAAGUAUUGAUAUGUAUGUUCUUAUUGCCAUUUUUUAAUUCCUUUGGAUUUGUUUUUGUUGCUCUUUUUUCCUUCCUUCUUCUCUUAUUCCUUGUUUGUGUACCAGUUGUAGAUUUUUGGUGCACAGUUAUUCUGAUAUAAGAGUCUAUAUGUAUAUGAGAUUGUUUUAAGUUGUUGUUCCCUUAAUUGCAAGUUCAUCUCUGGUGUCCUGCAUUUGUACCCACCUCUUCUCAUGAUUUCUGAUUUUGGUGGUAUAAUUGCACAUGGAUGAUUUCGUAUCUUUGUAAAGCUGGUUUAGUGUUGCUGAAUUCUCUCAGGUUUUGCUUACCUGGAAGGUUUUGAUUUCUCCUUCAAAUUUGAAUGAGAGCCUUGCUGGGUAGAGUAUUCUUGGUUGGAGGUUUUUUCCUUUCAUCAUGUUAAGUAUAUCAUGCCACUCCCUUCUGGCCUGCAGAGUUUCUGUUGAAAAAUCUGCCGAUAGCCUUAUCAGGGUUCCCUUGUAUGUUAUUUGUUUCUUUUCCCUAGCUGCUUUCAAGAUUUUCUCUUUGUCUUGAAUUUUGGUCAGUUGGAUUAAUAUGUGUCUUGGGGUGUUCCUCCUUGGGUUUAUUUUAUAUGGUACUCAUUGUGCUUCCUGGAUUUGAGUGAGUGGUUCCUUCCCAAAGUUAGGGAAGUUUUUGGCUAUUAUCGCUUGAAAUAUUUUUUCUGUCUCCUCCUCUCUUCUCCUUAUGACACCCCUAUAAUACGGAUGUUGGUGCGUUUCACAUUGGCCCAGAGUUCUCUGAGAUCUCUUCACUUCUUUCCAAUCUUUUUUCUCUUUUCUGUUCCACAUCCAUAGUUUCUGCUAAUCUGUCCUCCACCUCACUUAUUCAUUCUUCUGCCUCCUGUAUUCUGCUGUUAGCUGCUUCUGGUUAAUUUUUUAUUUCAGUUAUUGUAUUUUGCAUCUCUUCUUGUUUAAGUUUUCUAUCUUGUAUCUCUUUGGUCAGUGUUUCCUGUAAGUUAUCCAUCUUUGCCUCCAGUUUAUUUCCAAUGUCUUGCAUCAUCUUCAGCAUCAACAGUCUAAAGUCUUUUUCCUGGAGGCUAAGAAUCUCCUCCUCACUUAGCUGAUUUUCUGGGGUUUUUCCUUUCUCCUUCAUUUGAGUUAUAGUUCUCUGUCUUUUCAUUUUUAUAGGUUUUUGGUGUGGUGACCUUUUUACAGAUAAUAGAGUUGUAACCUCUCUUACUUCCGGUGUCUGACCCUUGUGGCAGAAGUCGGUAUGGGGGCUUUCUGUAGGCUUCCUGAUGGGAGGGGCUGAUGCCUGCCCCCUGGUAGGUGGAGCUGAUUCUGAUCCCUCUGGUGGGUGGGGCUUAGUCUCUGGAUGGGAUUAGAGGCAGCUGUGUGCCUGAGGGGUCUUUAGGUAGCCUGUUUACUGAGGGGUGGGGCUGUGAUCCCACCUGGGUUGUUGUUUGCCCUGGGGCUUCUCAGCAGCUGACUGAUGGGUGGGACCAGAUUUUCCCAAAAUGGCCCCCUCCAGAGAAAGGCAGCUGCUGAAUAUUCCUGAGAGCUUUGCUUUCAAUGUCCUUCCCUCACAACAAGCCACAUUCACCCCUGUUUUCCCAGGAUGUCCUCCAAGAACUGCAUUCAGGUUUGACCCAGAUUCCUAUGGAGACUUUUCUUUGCCCUGGGACCCAUGCACAUGAAAGUCUGUGUGCACCUUUUAAGAAUGGGGUCUCUGUUUCCCCUAGUCCUGUGGAGCUCCUGAGCACAAGCCCCACUGGCCUUCAAUGCCAGAUGCUCCGGGGCUCUUUAUCCCUAUGCCAGAUCCCCACACAUGAGAGUUUGAUGUGUGGCUCAGAACUCUCACUCCUGUAGGUGAGUCUCUGUGAACCAUUUAGAUUCCAGUCUGUGCAGCUUCCCACCCAGGAGGUAUGGGGUUGUUUAUAUCAUGAAAUCACCCCUCCUACUUCUUGAUGUGUCCUCCUCUUUUUCUUCUAGAGUAGGGUGUCUUUUUUAAGAUUUCCAGUCCAUUUGGGUGGAGAUUGCUCAGCCUUUAGUUGUGAAUUUUGUUGUUUUUAUGAGAGAAGUGGACUCUAGUCCUUCUAUUCCACCAUCUUAAUCCUGU